rnacentral:rRNA from 1 species
UGGGGAAUUUUGGACAAUGGGGGCAACCCUGAUCCAGCCAUGCCGCGUGAGUGAAGAAGGCCUUCGGGUUGUAAAGCUCUUUCGGCGGGGAAGAAAUCGCUUGGACUAAUACUCUGAGUGGAUGACGGUACCCGAAUAAGAAGCACCGGCUAACUACGUGCCAGCAGCCGCGGUAAUACGUAGGGUGCGAGCGUUAAUCGGAAUUACUGGGCGUAAAGCGUGCGCAGGCGGUUGUGCAAGACAGGCGUGAAAUCCCCGGGCUUAACCUGGGAACUGCGCUUGUGACUGCACGGCUAGAGUACGGCAGAGGGGGGUGGAAUUCCACGUGUAGCAGUGAAAUGCGUAGAGAUGUGGAGGAACACCGAUGGCGAAGGCAGCCCCCUGGGCCAGUACUGACGCU